CUCCCCUCUCGCGCGCCUCCUCUCCCUAUCUCUCUCUCGUUCCCCUCCCCUCCCGCGCGCCUCCUCUCCCGCUCGCCCUCGCGCCGCCGCCUCCGCUCGCGCUCGCGCCGCCGCCUCUGCUGAGAGGACCUGGCGGUCGCCUCUCCCACUCGCUCCUCUCCCUCUCCUCUUUCUCCUGCUCGCCUCUCACCUGAUCCCUAGCCCGCCGCCCGCCUCCCUGCCGCGCCGCCGCCCGCUGCUGCCGCCGCCCGCCGCCGUCUCGUCUGAACCGGCAAGACGCCAAACCCAGUGCCCCCUCUCGUCCUCGGCCAUCCAGCCCCCAACCCCACCCCACCCACCUGUCCCCUCCCUCCCAAAUGCCAGAAUCCCCUGCCCGCGCCGACCCAACCAAUCCCGCACCCACGCACCCGCACAUGCGCAGCAGCAGGGCGUCGACGACGAGGACGACGACGACGCGGCGCAACGGAGGGGUGUAGGUCAGCAAAGGGCACAGGCCACUGCUCACGCCGCUGCUGCGCUUGGUGCUCAACAGGAGUAGCUCGUGCUACGUCCGCACCGCCGGAGAGGACGCCAAGAUGAGCAUGGAGGUGCAUGGGUUGCGCAUUCGGAUGAAGACUCAAUAGGUGGAGCAGCAAGAGGUGCCCCUCCGUAGGGCAGAUUUGUGGCCACACAUCUAUCACCAGCUGGUCCAUAUAGAGGAGGAGAUAAGGGCGUGGGGUGCUCUUCUUGGAAGACAGUUAGCGGAGCGUGGAAUUAUAGUCGCUUGCAUUGAUUAUAGAAAUUUGCCCCAAGGAACAAUAAGUGACAUGGUCAGUGAUGCUUUUGAGGCAUUUUCAUUUAUUUGUGAUACUAUUGCUAGCUAUGGAGGAGAUCCUAAUCAGAACUAUGCGCCGCACUUGAAUAUUUGAUCCUUUUGGGUGGUGAUUCUAUCCAAAGUCGUUGUUGUGACGUCGGUGAGUAACCUCGGGCACCACACUGGGUGCUACCGCCUCCCCACCACUCAUGACGCCAGGCUGUUCUACUUCUUCGAAUUCAGGCGGCACAAGGAGGACCCAGUGGUGAUCUGGCUGACGGGAAGACCCGGCUACUGCAGCGAGCUAGCCCUCUUCUACGAGAAUGGCCCCUUCCACAUAGCAGACAACAUGUCGCUACUCUGGAAUGAGUUUGGUUGGGAUCAUGUAUAUUAUAUAUACCGACAGUUUGCGUACUAAUCAAUCAAUCUGUAUAAUAUUUUCUUAGAGAUUGUUUAGACCCUGUAUAAUCUUCUCUCUGUUUGGAAUUGGAUAUUGGCUACUGCAGGAGUCGAAUCUUAUCUAUGUUGAUCAGCAAACUGGGACUGGGUUCAGC
rnacentral:rRNA from 1 species